AAAAAAAAAACAUCGAAUAUAACUUUUCUUCAAUAAUAAAAUUUAGUAACAAGAUUAAUUAAGUAAUUUAUGUAACGUGCCCAAGGACCACCUCCGUUCUACCGGAGGCUGUUUCUGCGCCCUUUUAAGUAAACACGCGCUGCGAAGUCAUCCCAUCUUUCAACCCAGACGACACUCUUAACCAAAAAAUAUAAUCAAGUUACGACUAAGAUGGACAUUACUCGGAGCUAUAAUCAAAACCGUCAUUGCAUGCGGUAUCUAGCUACAGCCACCACGAGUCUUUCUUCUGUCAGCCAAACACUAUGACUAUCUUAGAAAAUAAAGAGAUACUGAUUGGCGUAAGCUUGAAAAGGCUUCCCAUGGUACCAGUCUCCCAGCUGUGGUCAAUAUGAUUGCUUAUCUAUACGUGGUGGGACACAAUUUCUCCUCAUAUCCCGUUUAAAGGGCUUUAUUCACUUGUUAUCUUCCGGGUCCCCAACAAGCUAUUAUCCACUUGUUCAGUCCCUGAUAAAGUUUCUCCUUUCCAAGUUAAGAGACGCUUCAAGUACCAAGGUUAUGCAAAAGCACAUGAAAUAAUUUUUAAUUGUUAAAAAAAAAUCUAGGCAAUGUUUGGUCCUGCGGAGCAGUUCUAAAACUUCGCGUUGAUUUCAAUCUCAAGAAACUCGAAAACACUGAUGUAAAACAAUUUUCACGCCCCUCGAGCUCAAGAAUUCUUUUCACUGCAAUUGUUUUCUCGUAGAUUUUCAAGCUCAAUUAAGUGACGUUGUAUGUUAAAGUUUAAAAAUUUAUGAAUCAAACAUAAUUAAUGAACAAACAUUUUUAAAUUUUCAUUCACGAUUAUGCUCAAGAAAAUAAUUGUAUUUAGACAGAAAUCAAUGUAAAUGACCAAAAUAUGGAUUGAAGUAAAUGUUGACUUAGAUUAGCUGGUUAAUAUAUUGAAACCAAAAAAAAAUCUUAAAAAAGGUUUACUUUGAUUCUUUCGAUCAUGAUAUUAUCCAAACUAAAGAACGAGUUGCAUCACAUUACGUAGUAAUUGAAGGAAACUAAGGAAACGAAAACCUGGUAUGACUUUUGCUCCAUUUAGUAAAUUUGAUUUUAAGUUAUCGAAAAAACAACAAGGUAAAUUGAGGAUUUUUUAAAUUUGUCGACAACAAUUGUGACAACAAUGCCUUUUGAACCAAAUAAUCGGUUGUGACGUUCAAUGCAGCGAUUGGGGCGUUUUAUUUAGUCCUAUAGCUGGCAGGAUUGAGAAAUCUAUCAAGUCACUUCAAACAUGAUUCAAAAAAUAUGUUUUUUACUAUUUUAUUCCUGAGUGAAACUGUCGCCGCCAUUUUUAUGACUUAAAACACUAAUGGCGUCCUCAAAAAGCUCGGAGAUAAGUGAACACUAGGUGACAAAUGAGGACAAAUGUAUAUAAUGGCUUGUCUCAAAUCCUUAGUGAUUAUAAGUGGAGGUAACCCGUAUGGGUUGGGAAGAACUUGCAUCCCACCACUAAUCCUAAGCAAGUGGUUGACCAGAGUUGAAGUUUGGUACAAUGGGAGACCCAUUCCGAGCUCCACUUUGAACAGAGUCUCUCUAUUUCCUGAGAUGGGAGGAGUGUUUGGGUCCAUGAGAGGUCGGACUCGUGGUGGCUGUUGGUAAGGCACCCACAUGGACUGCAUGCCUAAUGGAUUUUGAUUUCUUAUAACUUAUAAUUACGAAUCAUUAUCAACCAUUUCUCUAAUAAUGGACUUCCAAAUGAUGUUUCUUAUUCUAUUAAUAGUAUUCUCAAUUAUUAACGCUGGUGCAGUGGCAAUUGCUGCCAAUUAUAUCAGAUAUGGUCCAAUUAACAAUGACGCAAAUUUGUAAUAUGGCAAACAGUAAUCCAGGAAGGAAAAAAUUAUGUGCAAGAUGCUGUUGAAAUUGUACAGAAAGAAAUUUCUUUUUUCGUUUCUAAAAUACUUGUAAAACAUUGUUAUUAAAUUAAAACUUUA